rnacentral:lncRNA from 1 species
GAUCAAGUUCUCCUAACCCGAAGCUUGCUCCUAGGAUUCUUUAGUAAUUCGACUUCUAAAUUCUAGUAAGUUCUUGUUUUAUUGUUCUUAUGGUUUAUGAGUUUACUUUAAUCUCUUCGCGUAGAGUUUAGAGUAAUCAUUGCUGGCGUAAACGUGGUGUUUAGGCUGGGGUACUCAUAGAUAUUCCCUGACUAGCUGGACCGUGGUAGUAGUGAGGAACGUGACAAUUCCGAGCUACCUUUGUAGAUCACAUCUCGUUAGCAGGAAGGAUAGGGUUUAUAGGUGCGAGUUGAACAUCCUUUGUGGUGUCUAGAUUCCGUUAGCCUCCCCAUUAGAACAGUAGAUCAUCCUUACCAAGGUUAGAAGGAGACUACGGUUGCAGUCUUCUCUAUUUAUCACUCACAUCGAAAGACAUUCUUUGUGCCUAAAGGUUAGUAGUAAUAGACCGGUUAGUCAGAUGCACUCUUUCUCCUAGUGGUAAAAAAAUAAAUACGAUACUCUGGAUAAUUUCCCGGGUGAAGUGCUCACCGAUAUCCGUGCGCUUGCGGAUCAAUUCCUUAUUGCGUUCCCAAAUAUCAACAAUAAGAAAAUAUAAAAAUACCAAAAAUAUAUGGGCACAUGAAGGUCCAUAUCUUUAGAGUCUUCUGAGUCCAAUAGAAAUAAAUAAAAACCAAGCAAAAUACAUAUUUAUAUAUUAAGGUGUGAUCAUAGUGUGUGUCUACAGUCAGUCUAGUUUAGAGUCAAAUAAAAUUUAGAGAAUAUUAAAAUAAUUUUGUCUUGGAGAUGAUGAAUAGUUGCUCUAUCGUAAUUCCUUUUAAGUGCCUAGUUUUCAACCAUAAAUUCUCUUGAGUUUUAGGCAUGACCACUUUAAUAUAGGAAUUUACUCUGAACCUAAAAUUUGUAGAGGCGUAUGUUUAAGCUGAGUCUAGGUAAUUGAUUGAUUCUAUAAAUGAAGAUCUAAGCUGCUAUUUAUCUUAUUCCCAAGCGUUACUAAGUUUUGGAGAUUUAUUUUCAAAAACCCAAAAUCUUACAUGAUGAGCUCUUGUAUGAUAAAGUUUAAAUUCCUACCAAAGGUAUAUGUGAUACAUUUAGAGUUAGGAAAACCUUUGUGCAUUCAUGCUGCUUGCUUUACAUUGAGUUUAGUCAACCUUUGGAGUAUACCUUAUGAGAGUCUUGUCAUGCUUUUAAAAUUAAGAUCACUUACGCACUCCACCUACAUAUGCAUUGCUCCUACUCUGAGGGUAAGUGCAAUUAUUUUCUAUUUUCAUACAGAUCCACCUUAAAAAUCUUUUCUCCAACACUAGGAGUAAACACCCAAAAAUAUACUCUAUAGGACAGCCCCCAUUUAAUUGCUCUAAGUUCUUAUCAUUAUCUCUCCGAUUAUUUAUAUUCACAGGAUGCAUGUGGCUAUGCAAAAACAUUUAAAAAAGAAAAGAGAAAAAAAAUAAAAAAAGAGGGAUGUUGACGGUCCUUAAGUAUCAAAUUUAAUUAUCAAAUAAAUAAAGAAAAGGAUCCAAAUGAAAUCAAGAUCUAGACUUAGGGUUUUAUCUGACAGAAUUCCACGAGUUUUGGUGUUUGUCUAUUUCUGCAGGGGGUGUUGACACCGUUUUUGGGCACGUGUCUAGGAUGGCAGGAUAAGGUGGCAGUACGAUGUUUACAAAGUGGGUUGCCGAUGAGGAUGGUUGCCGAUGAGGGAGAAGUUGAACGUGACUAAGUCCACAGGCAGUAAUAUGGUGCCGAUGGCUAGAUAAGAAAGUCUGUCGAUGACUAUGGCAAAGGGUCUGCCGAUGAUGCAAAGAGGGAGUCCGGAAGCUGCCGGUCGUUAUGUGGAGGAGUUUCGGUUUGUCACGAGGGAUAGUUUUGUUAUUUCUUUAAUUAUUUGCAUCGUUUUGUAUACGGAUUCCGUGUAAUUUGGAAUUCGAAUUCUAAUCGUGUCUGGUUGUAGCUCUUUGAGCAGGGUAUAAAUAUAGACCCU